UCUUUGUUAUGUUCCGGGGUUCUCUGGUUCUCUUGGUGGGGUUUUUCCUGUGCGCCUUUUCCACCUCUUACCACCAGAUGGCGACAGGUUCCGGUUGGAGUGCGGUGGUAUCAUCAUCAUCCACAGCUGUCAUCAAUUACCCUCAUCAGCGGAGCAUACUUAAGGAGUUGACCGCCAGUCCAGCGUCGCCUGAGUGUUUGCCAGUCACGGUACCUCUGAGCCCCCUUGAGCCCUGUCUCUGUGUUCCUCGUUGCCUUGAGCCUUCCUUUGAUUCUCUUUGUGUUUCUCUGUUGCCUUCAGGAGAUCCCUUUGACACUCUGGACCCGCUGACCAGAUCCUGGCAGUUUCCUUGGUUUCAGAACCUCCCUCGUGACGCCGUGGAAAGUAUCCACUGGUUGCCCGAGUUCCCAGACUCACCUCUCCGUUGUUUGCAAGUAUCUCCUGGACCCCACGGCUGGCGGCCGAAUCACUCCUCUGUGUCUCUGUUGCACCCGAGCCUACCUGUCCGUUCUCCGCCGCACUCCUCCGUUGUUCCUGGACCCACUAGAGACCGAGACCCUGGACAUACUCAGUAACCCUCCAAGAUUCAGAUCCAGCCACCACCAAUGAACCACUGCUGCCCGUUACAGUUGAUUCCCUGGACCAGACCACCUUCCCACACUCUGAUAAUUGUGUACCUUAAUAAAUCACUUAAACUGAU